rnacentral:siRNA from 1 species
ACUAGAUCCGUAACACCACCGCCU